rnacentral:rRNA from 1 species
GAAAGCAUCUCAAGCACGAAACCUACUCCAAGAUUAUAUAUCUCAUCCUUCGGGAGUAAGAACCCUAGAAGAUGACUAGGUUGAUAGGCUUUAAGUGUAAGCAUGGCAACAUGUUUAGCUAAGAAGUACUAAUUGUUCGAGGGCUUAUCGUA